UUCUCCCCGUCCGUCGGUCUAACCGGAGCACUGGAGUCUGAAUGUAUGAAUCGGCUACGGUUUCCUUGUUCCCACUCUCCCCCUGUGAAUUCUCGGCCGCUCCCUGCUCCUGCUCCAACUCCGACGAGAUCUCGGCGCCGGCGACCGAACCCUAACCCCAUCCCUCCACACCAGACCCGAAGAAGGACCAGCCGCCGCGUCUGCAGCAUCAGCAAUGGUGCUGAUCCCCCUCGUCCGCGACUACAUCGACCGCAUGCUCCACGACAUCCCAGGGAUGAAGGUCCUCGUCCUCGACCCCCAAACCGUCGGGAUGGUCAGCGUGGUGUACAGCCAGUCGGAUCUGCUGCGGAAGGAGGUGUUCCUCGUGGAGACGGUCGACAACGCCUCCAGCUCCAGGGAGUCCAUGGCGCACCUCAAGGCCGUCUACUUCCUUCGACCCUCCUCCGACAAUGUCCAGAAGCUCCGUAGGCACCUCGCCGCGCCGCGCUUCGCCGAGUACCAUCUAUUCUUCUCCAAUAUACUGAAGAUUCCACAGAUUCAGGUGCUCGCCGAUUCUGAUGAGCAGGAGGUUGUGCAGCAAGUUCAGGAGUUCUAUGCUGAUUUUUGUGCCAUUGACCCCUACCAUUUCACUCUCAACAUACAAAAUAACCAUAUGUACAUGCUUCCAAUGGUGGUCGAUCCUCCUGGUAUGCAGACCUUCUGUGACCGAGCUGUUGAUGGCAUUGCUUCUGUCUUCUUGGCCCUCAAGCGCCGCCCUGUUAUUAGAUAUCAAAGGACAUCAGAUGCUGCAAAAAGGAUUGCGCAAGAAACUGCGAGAUUGAUGUAUGAGCAGGAAAGUGGCCUCUUUGGUUUUAGACGAUCAGAGAACUCUUCCUUGUUGUUGGUGAUUGACAGGAGGGAUGAUCCUGUUACACCUUUACUUAACCAGUGGACAUAUCAGGCAAUGGUUCAUGAGCUUAUUGGAAUCGAGAACAAUAAAGUGGGUCUUAGGAUAUUUGCUAAUGUCCCUAAAGACCAGCAGGAGGUGGUUUUAUCAUCGGUCCAAGAUGAUUUUUUUAGAGCUAACAUGUUUGAGAAUUUUGGGGACCUUGGUAUGAACAUCAAACGAAUGGUAGAUGACUUUCAGCAUCUUUCAAAGAGCAGCCUGAAUCUCCAGAGUAUAGGUGAUAUGGCAAAAUUCGUGACCAACUAUCCUGACUAUCGAAAGACACAUGGAAAUGUAACAAAACAUGUUGCUUUGGUGAGCGAGAUGAGCAGAAUUGUGGAGGAAAGGAAGCUUAUGCUAGUUUCACAGACAGAACAAGAGCUAGCAUGUACAAGUGGACAAGCAGCCGCUUUUGAGGCUGUCACUUCCUUGCUAAACAAUGAAAGCGUAUCUGAUAUUGACCACUUACGACUAGUAAUGCUCUAUGCUUUGCGAUAUGAAAAAGAGAGUCCAGUUCAGUUGAUGCAGCUUUUCAACAAAUUGGCUUCUCGUUCUGCCAAAUACAAGUCUGGACUUGUUCAAUUCCUCCUUAAGCAGGCUGGUGUUGAUAAGAGAACAGGCGACUUGUACGGGAAUCGUGACCUAUUAAAUAUUGCUCGCAACAUGGCUCGUGGGCUUAAGGGAGUUGAGAAUGUGUACACCCAACACCAGCCUCUUCUCUUCCAAACUAUGGAAGGAAUUGUGAAAGGGCGAUUACGAGAUGCUGACUAUCCACUUGUUGGCAAUCACUUCCAGCAGGGCAGCUUUCCACAGGCCUCAAGAUGUGGUCAUAUUCAUUAUUGGAGGGACAACUUACGAGGAAGCAAGAUCAGUAGCCCUUUAUAAUGCAGCAAAUCCCGGAGUUCGUUUUUUCCUUGGAGGUUCAGUGGUUCUAAAUUCAAAGAGAUUUCUUGAAGAUUUGGGAGAGGCACAAAGAAUAUUGAAGUCAAGCACUAUAGUAUGAGCAGAAAAGUGCCAUCUCCUGUUUGAAGCGUUCUAGUGUAUGAUAAUUGACAAGUGUUGACUCCACUUUUGCAUAGAAUCAAAUUUGUGUGGUAAUUUUUGUAAUAUAGCUUUAGGUGCAUAGUGCAACACCAAACGAAAUAAGCAGAUCUGUAGGUGGUCCAGCUUCUGUACAUUUCAUUGUUAUUCUUUUUCUUUCUUUUUACGCAGUUGAAGCAAUGAUCUGGAUUCUGUUGAAACGCGUUCUUUGUUCGUCUUGAUAUUCUACAAUGUUGAUAGAGAUAGUACAAACUCAAAGACUGUAAAAAAUACUCCGUACAUUUUUCAGGUUCGGUUCGGCCUAUCUUUUGAAA